AUAUACAUUGUAUAUCCGUUGUCAGCGACUCUCAUUUCCAUCAAAAGAUGUUUAUUCAAAAAUAAUGAAAAUAUGUAAAGAUUAUAUUUUACUUAUUAACAAACGUUUUCACUUCCUUGUGAUCAACUGUUGUUAAACCCUCAAUUGAAAGAAAUAGGUUUUACAAUAACUAAUAAGAACGUAAGGCAACGAAACAAGUAACUUGAGUGAAUUCAUUUGACAUACAUACAUUGCCAUGGAACCUAUUAUUAGAAAUCUACUUGGAAGGAUGGAUUGAGUGCGUGAAUAUUAAAAUCGAAAAUCGAAUAGCUGUGACUUCUGAGGUUGUAAUGUUCCAUCCACCAUCAAAUAUAUGAAUUGAGCAAACUACCCAUAUACUUCAAAGAUGGAUCACUGGAAACAGUCACCGACGCAAAACCGUAGGCCAAAUCAGCUGAUACGACCUAUCUUAUGAUAGCGCAUCGUAAUUGAAUACUCACCACCGCUUCUACAGACCGUACGGUAGGAUAUCCGCAAAUAUUAAAUUUUUAAGGUAGAAACGAGUAAGCUGAUUUCUCUCUUGCAACGAAGGGUUGCCAGUCUC